GAUGAACGCUGGCGGCGUGUCUAAUACAUGCAAGUCGAGCGAACAGACGAGGAGCUUGCUCCUCUGACGUUAGCGGCGGACGGGUGAGUCACACGUGGAUAACCUACCUAUAAGACUGGGAUAACUUCGGGAAACCGGAGCUAAUACCGGAUAAUAUAUUGAACCGCAUGGUUCAAUAGUGAAAGACGGUUUUGCUGUCACUUAUAGAUGGAUCCGCGCCGCAUUAGCUAGUUGGUAAGGUAACGGCUUACCAAGGCGACGAUGCGUAGCCGACCUGAGAGGGUGAUCGGCCACACUGGAACUGAGAGACGGUCCAGGCUCCUACGGGAGGCAGCAGUAGGGAAGCUUCCGCAAUGGGCGAAAGCCUGACGGAGCAACGCCGCGUGAGUGAUGAAGGUCUUCGGAUCGUAAAACUCUGUUAUUAGGGAAGAACAAAUGUGUAAGUAACUAUGCACGUCUUGACGGUACCUAAUCAGAAAGCCACGGCUAACUACGU
rnacentral:rRNA from 1 species